rnacentral:rRNA from 1 species
UACGGGGGGGGCAAGCGUUGUUCGGAAUUACUGGGCGUAAAGGGCUCGUAGGCGGCCAACUAAGUCAGACGUGAAAUCCCUCGGCUUAACCGGGGAACUGCCUCUGAUACUGGAUGGCUUGAGAUUGGGAGAGGGAUGCGGAAUUCCAGGUGUAGCGGUGAAAUGCGUAGAUAUCUGCAGGAACACCCGUGGCGAAAGCGGCGCGCUGGACCACUACUGACGCUGAGGAACGAAAGCUAGGGGAGCAAACAGG